CCCUCAAAAAGAAAAAUUAAUGAAAAAAAUGUAUAAAGAUGAAUGAAUCAUUAAGCAAGUAUUUAAACUAGUAUAAUUCUACUCGGUGUUUUUUUCUAAUAAUCAAGACAAACUAAAAAAAAAAAAAAAGACUAGACAUAUCCACAGCAAAAGGCUAAUAAAUGUUAGCCCACGGCAGAAACAGGUGAUUUUACUUUGUUUCUCAAUUUCCCUCCAUGAAUAUAUUUAUUAAUUUUGUAAUAAUUUCUAAAAAUAAAACAUUAUGCUAAAAAUCAAGUGGGAAAAAAGUGACGUAGCUCUGGUGUGGACCCGAGAGGGCCCGGAGGCUAGAAGAUGGCCCCCCUUGUAAUCGAGUCUGGAGCUCAGGAGAAAUGAGCGGCCUGCAGCUUUCUAGGGAAGGCAAGCAUUGGAAUGCAAAGCUCGUUCAGGCUCUGAUACCCACUGGGGGACACAAAGGCCUUCUUUUGGCAGGAAGUGCGCUCCCUGCGUGAGCAAGAAAAGCAUCUUGCCUGGGUCGUCGCCUCUCUGGGUCAGGAGGUAGGAAAGGUUUUCCAGGCUCGGGGGCCUGUUGCUAAUCACCAAAAGGGAAAUGCCAGGAACGUGAUCUGGCUGCCAGGCCUGAACAGGGCAAAUGUGCAGGUGGGUGGUGGGCGAGGCAAGACGGCUCUGUCCACUGGGGAUGAUGACAUGCCAGGUCCCGCAGUGACGGUGAGUUUAAGGUGGCACAGUGACAAGUGUAGGAAGCAUGGCUGCUCUCACACAGCAGUGGGAGGCUCACUGGUGAGUUUAGAAGCAACCAGACUUGCAGGGCAAGUUGGCAGCAAAGCACAGAGAGGUAAUAUUUCUCUUCCCACCUUCCAAAGGUUUUUUUUUUUUUUUUUUUUUUUUUUUUUUUCUCGUCUUUUUGCCUUUUCUAGGAUCACUUCCAUGGCACAUGGAGGUCCCCAGGCAAACCAGCAGCAUUGCAUUUCAUGGGACAUGGCCUUGGUUUUUCCAGAUUCAGUGCCCUCUUCCUUUAAACAGGGCGGGGAUGGGAAGAGGUCUUUUCAGAGCCAAAAGGAAAACUCAGAUUCCACUCUACCAUCAGGAACCUUCUCUAACUGCUAUGGAAUCAUGGCCUAAGGGCAAAGGUCAAAUGAUAGAUGCUUUUCUGACUAUCAUGAAUGACUAGCUAGGAAGUGUCCAAGAGGACUUUUAACGAGUUGAGGUGGCAGAGCAUCUGGAAGUCCUGAGACCUGGAGUUCCUUCCCAAAGCCCCAGUUUCCUGUUUUAUCUAGUGGAUGGUCAUAGUACCUACCUCCUGGGUCACUGCAAGGACGAAAGAGAUUAUAUAUAUGUUGCGUUGAGCACUUGGCUGGCAUGUAUUAGGGCUCAACAAAUAUUAAAAAUCAAUUUACUACUGAAGCACUGUGACAUGUUGAUGUGUUAAAUUCCAUCACAUUAACUUUACCAACUGAAAAUAUGACCAUGUUCCAGGUAUAUAAGAAUUCUUCCUUCAUUAAAACACGUUAUUAAAUAUUCUUGAAUUUUAAAAAUUCAUACUCAGCAUUUGUGUAUUUGUGUACUUGCCAGCUGACAAGCAGGAUCAGCUACCAUAAGUGUACAAAAUCUUUUUGAAAAAGAAACUGAACUUGAAUCCAUUCUAUCGACUGACAUAAUUUCCUGGUGACAUGGGACGAUGCACUCCUUUGGGACCCUCCAGCAGUGUAGAGUCUAAAAGCCACUGGAUUGGACAAAACAUUUAUAACCACCGUCUUGGAGUUUAAGGAGAACCAGUUAGGAUUUGCAAUGAGGCCAUGAAAAUCACCCUGCUUUCUGCCAACCUCUCUAAGAACCCACUAAAUCUGAGAAAUCCUAGAACUCAAGGGAAACAGUGCAAAGGCUGAGGCUGAUGAGCUUGGCAGAGAGACACAGGUCCUGCUGUGGACAGGACCUCAUCCUCUGUCUUUCCAAGUGACAGGACACUUUUGAGAGUGAAAGGGGCCCUAUUAACAACCCUUCUGGGACAGCAGAUAUGCACACACGGCUUGUCCCUGACAAACUGGGGACACACAGUCACCUCCUCCACAGGCAGCUGAGCCCCUGGAAUACAUCUUGCAGCAGAACAAGCAUGGAAUUUUCCAAAAGAAAUUUGGAAUUUCCAAAAGGGUUCGGGGGUAAAUAUCAGAGGAGGCUUCCAAAGCCUUCUUUCCAUAAUUACCAAAAUAAUUCAAUCCAGUCCACGAGCCAGUCUUUAAAUGACAUUCCUGUGCUAGUUGUGGUGACCUGGGGACCCAGAGGAGAACAGGAGCCGUGCGUGGGAGAGACGAAGAUUUCUGCCUACAUGAGCAGUUUAGAGUGACCAGCCCCAGACCAGAGGCAGCAGACAAGCCACAGGGUAUGGGGUGGGGGCUGUGGAGGGGAGGUGGGGAGCCGGGGUCGGGGGAAUCCACCUGGGGAGGCCAGGGGGCUUGGCUGAGGAGAGUACACCCGUGCUGAGCCUAGAUGGCGGGGCGGCCAGGAGGCAGGCAAGGAGGGGACAUUGCUGGUGGACAUGCAGGCUCAGGACCUGCAACAAGGGGCAAUUUGGAGAUCAGAGUCAGUGCUUUCAAGGGAGAGGCUGAGUAGGAGAACCAAAACUGGGGUCGACGCCAGGCCUGCCCUCAGUGAACUGUGGGAAUUGGAGCAAGAACACAAAGCAAGGGCCCUGGCCCCCAGCCCCUGACCCGUCCCCACCCCCACCUCCUGUUUCCUAACACACAUGGUUGGACAGCUCGGCCGGGUCCCCUCACAGCAGCUUGCAGACGGCCACCCCUUGGCUGCCCCUUGGGUGCACAACCAGGGUGAACACUGGCUGCACAGUGGUCUUUCGAGAAGACGGAACCAGCGGGGAGGCCCCACAGCCCCAGAAGCAGCUCAGGGCCCUUGGGCGGGUAUUCCAGCAUCCCAGGUAAGCAGGGCGUGGUCUCAAAAGGAGCACACAGGCUCCGGGUAGGGAGGCUCUAAGCCCCUAAGCCCCAAGGACUCUUCGGGGAGGGGCUCCUGGGGAAUCAGGGCAGGGUCUUCGGAAGCGCGGAGCCCAGGGCAGGAGAUGUGAUCACCCAGGACCCACAGCCAUGUUUAUCAGAACUUGCCCCCACCCCCUGGUCCUGACCGCCUCUCCCACCCCCCGUCAUCCGCAGGGAACCUGGCUUUGCCAGGAGCAUGUUUACAAAUGAUCCUGCUAGACUUGAGGGCUGGACCUCCUCGCUGGCCUUUAAGAAGACUCUCAAUUCCAGAAGCUUCCCUCACGUGUGUGACAAUCGCUAGAACCUCACCUGGAGGCCCCAUCAGAGCUCUCGACUCUUACCUGGAAAAGACACCAAUGCCCAAGACUCAGCCAGCCCAGAAGGAGUUCGAGAAACGAAAUUUGUUAAAGUUUCCAGGUUCAGGUUCCACGGUGCGUUCUGCAUUGGAGACAUCCAGGACCACCUCAGAGGUGAGGGGUCGUCACUUCUGCCUGCAGUUAGCAUUUAAAAAAAAAAAAAAAAGCUAUUUUGCCUUUUUUCAUUAAGAAGUGUGACUAUUUCUUGGGAACCUCCAGGAAAUGCUCUGUCCCCAAACCUUCCUCUACAUACUUUCUUGAGAAGAAAUUCACACAUCUUGCCCUCUAGUCAUCACACCCGGAAGGGGCCAGGCCCCACCCCACUCAGGAUAAGGGUGUGAGCUCGACAGACACCCUUGGGGGCUUCCAUCCUCAUCGUGGAAGCAUGACUCGGUUAUUUAUUGUGUUGUAAUUAUGAGGAAGGAAAAAACCUACAUGGAGGGUACACCUGGGCGACCUGCCCUAAUCGGAAUGGGUCUUCCCUGGAGACGGCCCGUGGGAGCUGAUCAGCAGGACAAGCAAGCUUCACUGGGGGUGAGGGCGGCCGGGGAGGGAGUCUCGAGGGAGGAGAACCCAAGAGACCAGCGUGGCUGGAGCGUGGAAAGAGGCGGGGGGGGGGGGGGGGNNNNNGGGGCGGAGGGGGGGCAGGCAGAGCUCAACCUGCGGAAGAGGAAACGAGAGAGUCUGUCAAUCGACUGUUGCUGCGUGAGGAGUGACUCCAAACUUGGCAGCUGCAAACCACAAAAUGUAUUAUGCGCACAAUUUCCGAGGGCGGUGAGCCCACAGCGCUGGGCGGUCUGGCUCCGUGCCUCCCACGAGGCUGCAGCCCCUGAAGGCUCCGAGGGAUCUGCUUCCGGGAAGGCUUGCCGGCUGGGCUGCUGCCUGGAGUCCUCAGGUCUCCGCCUCGGAGUGUCCCCACGAGGUAGCAGAUGGCUUCUUCCAGAGUGAGCAAGCAGAGAGAGGGCCUGAGAAUGGAAGCCACCACCCUUUAUGACCUAAUCUCAGAAGUAACAGGCCAUCCUUUCUGCCGUCUCAUGGGCCAGGAGGUGGUCACAAGUCCAGUCCACACCUGAGGGAGGGCGUUAUGUAAGCCUGACAACAGCAAGAUGUGGGGACAAUUUGGGGUCAUCUUGCAAGCUGGCCUCAUACUCAGAUUCUCAUUUAAAAAAAAAAAAUACCCAUAAAGGAAUUUUCUGGGAUGAUAGAAAUGUCUAUAUAACAUGACAGAGGUUACAUGACUGUAAACCUUUGCCCAAAUGUGUUUAAGUUUGACUCUUAGAUGCAUUAUUAUUAUUUUUAAAAAACCACUACUUCUGGAAAACAGAGGGAGAUGUCAUUCCCUCUAUUCUGCCUGUCGAAUACAAAUAAAAACCCUGAACAUUAUAUACAAAAUAAACAUGGGAAGGGGGAGGGGGCAAGGGAGGGGGAGGGAGGUACAAACCAUUGGGUGUGAGACACACUCAAGGGUGUCGUGUACAACACGGGGACUAGAGCCAAGAGUGUGUAACAGCCGGAGAUGGAAAGUAACCUUCAAAAUUUGUAUGAAAUAAAAAAAAAAUCAGGAUGACUGGGAAUACAAUAAACAUAAUAAAUUCCUCUUGUAACAUAGUUGAGUAGCAGUAGUAAGAAUGUGGAAGAUAUUGGGAGAAGAAUGCAAUGUUAUCCCUUUGGAAUAAAAAGGGAUAAAAUAUUAAAAUAGGGGAUAAAAUUAUUUAAAAUAAUAGGGAUAAAAUAUUCAAAUAAUGGGGAUAAAAUAUUCAAAUAGUGAUAAGAAGAUUCUGAAAUGGGGAGAGAAGGUGGCUGACUAGCUAGGCACCAGAACAAUGCAUUGGCAUGAUCCCUGGGUUUUCUUUUUGUCUCACGGACCCCAGACUUGGAGCUGAAGGAGGCGGCAGCCUGAAACGUCCAUAACCGACACCCAAAAACCCAAGGGAAGCCCGCUUCCUCCAGCCGCAGGACCAGGAAGGGGCGUCGGCUAGAUAGAAAACUUUUAGACAACCACCCUGGACUCCAGCCAAACACCACAGAAAACCUGCAGCCCCACAACCCGGGUGAAUCUCCAAAGAACUGUGCUGAGUGGGAAAAAGAACCAAAGAGCCAGUGGCUAAGAGUUACACAUUGUGCGAUUUCACUUCUGUAACCCUCUCGAGAUGACAAAUUCAUAGACAUGAAAUAAAGCUUGGUGUUAUUCUAUCAGCAGUUGAGGAAAGAGAGGGAGUGAGAAAAGGCUAUGACUUUACAGGGCAGCAUGAAGGAUCCCUGUCAGCUGGCCUUGCUCUGUGUCCCCGCUCAGUUGUCAGCAUGCUGGUGUGACACUGUGCUGCAGUUUGGGGAUUGCUACCAUUGGGAACGACUGACUAAAGGGUGCAGGGGAUUUCUUUGGGUUAUUUCUCUCUGUGUGUAUUAUCUCGAACAAUUGCAUGUGAAUCUAUAAUUAGUUCAACAUAAAUGUUUCUAUUUUACAAAAGAGCCACCUAUGUCAUGAUCUCACUUACAUGGCAUUUUGGGAAAAUGAAAACAAGGAGUUCCCACUGUGGGUCACCAGGUUAAGAACCCGACAUAGUGUCCGUGAGGAUAUGGGUUCAAUUCUUAGAUAUGGUUGUCUAAAAGUUGAUCCGUGGGUUAAGGAUCUGGCGUUGCCAUGAGCUGUGGUGUAGGCUGGCAGCUGCAGCUCCGAUUCGACCCCUAGCCUGGGAACUUCCAUG
rnacentral:lncRNA from 1 species